GACGGAGGGUGCAAGCGUUGUUCGGAAUUACUGGGCGUAAAGGGCGCGUAGGCGGUCUGUUAAGUUCGGUGUGAAAGCCCCCGGCUCACCUGGGGAACUGCGCCGGAAACCGACAGACUCGAGUACCGGAGAGGAGGGUGGAAUUCCUGGUGUAGCGGUGAAAUGCGUAGAUAUCGAGAGGAACACCUGCGGCGAAGGCGGCAUCCUGGACCGACACUGACACUGAGGAGCGAAAGCCAGGGGAGCAAACGGG
rnacentral:rRNA from 1 species